GGGUGACCCCCUUGGGCAGGUGGAAGACCGAUGCAAAGUAACCAUUUAGGAGAUUGGCAUUUUCCUGAGCGUCAGACAUCAGCUGCCCCAUUUGAUUUAGCAGGGUGGUGGUGGGUGGGUCAG